AAAGAUAGCUUCUUUGUAUGUGCUAUGUUGGUGAAUUUAUUGUAAAGUAUUUUGUAGCUGGUCCUGCAGAGAUCAUGCUCUUUCCAGAAGGACAAACCACAAACCCUAAGAAAACCAUUUUCCUUUGUUCUCCAGCCUCAAAGAUCUCCCCCUUUUAAAGGACACACGACUGGGUCACUAAGGACUUCACACGGCAACAGCAGCCCUGGAGACCAGGAACGACAAGCCCAGGGAGUGUGUUCGUGGUGUGCCCCACUUCACUGUUCAGACGAAGGAAAGGACCACAAUGGAAAAAGGGAAAAAUAAGUGAUCAUGCCCUUGUUUUUGUGCAUGUGUCUGUUUGUGACUAUGUAUACUGUUCUUUCUCUCCACAUAAAAAAAAAAAUUAGUUGCACCAAAUAUAAUUUGAUUUGUUAUUAUCAAAUCACUCAAUGUAAUAGCUCCCAGGAGCCCUUGUUUUCAGUGUCUGCCAGGACAUUAUGGUGGCUGAUUUGGGUCUAAUUUAUUAUGUCCUCUGUGCUGAAGUGACAGCUGUUGAGAGUUAGUCCUACACCACAAACCCUUAGCCUAUGAUUGAACUGUUAUUCAAAAUGGAAGCAAAUUCCUCAACAUGUGUAAAUUGAAAUGACAUAAAAAAAACAAUUGUACUGUACAUUUCAGAACAGUGGACAAAUGUUCCUAUGCUGAUCUGUUCAGUCAAAUGAGCAGCUACAUUCAUAUAGUCAUAAAACCUUUGGUGUACAUCAGUAAUUAGGAGUGACAGUGAUGUUAUCACCUCAACUUGUCAUCUGAGACCUGAGUGGGGACUUGAGUGAUGUAUGACACAUGGCAAGCACUGUCACAGGGGAAUACAGAAGUAUUCAGAUGUAUUGGUCCAUUCAACAGUGAACAGGGAAAUUGACCAAAUUAUCAAAUCUAUUCCAGGCAAUGUGAAUACUGCAAGGAGAGAAAAAGACAUGUUCUGCAUCAAGGUAUAAAGAGAGACCCACUGAGACGGUGAGAGAGACACUGCCCAGUGCCCACUGUGUAGCUGUGAAGCAGAGCUGAGAUAUAGAUUUAUCUAUCAAUACUAGCAUAUUAUAUUUUUUUAAGAUUAGGUUUAUUGCCAUCUCAUUGUCAUGACAAUUAUAUCACUUUAUUGGUACAGUGCUGGGGGAGGGAGAUUGUUAGCAUGAAGAUCACCAGGGGAAAGAGAGGGGGAAACUCCCUCAUGUAUUUUUAAUCUCAACAGUAUGACCUUUUCCACACAUUCUUAGGACUCACACUCUCUCUGUCACACACACAGCACGCACACAAACCAAUGAAUCAUAAUUUGUGUACUUCAGCGAUUAGACUUUAAUGAGGUCAAAACAACCUUGGGCUGACAACUUUUGAGUGGCAGUCAAACUUCACAGAGUACAACUAGGCCACAGAUGUUUCAUGACUGAGAUUUCACAUCAUGCUGUAUGUCUUACAGGCUUUAUUUUUACUCUUUUGAUUUCUGUUUUUUAAGAUGUUCACACUUUGCCUGGAAUAUCUGAGCCUUUGAGCAUUACGUUGGAAUGUUGAAAAAUGAAGAAUCUCUCAGGUUAAUGUUUGACUUUCAUCGGCCCUCCGAUGCUCUGAAGUUCUUAGAGCCGUGAGCAGUGAGACCACAGAGAACCUGCACAGGGUGGAAAUAAAAGAGUUAAACAAAUAAUGGGCAAACCCUUACCCAGCAAACUCUGUCCCAGGGUUAUCACCACAGGCA